rnacentral:rRNA from 1 species
GUGAACGCUGGCGGCGUGCCUAACACAUGCAAGUCGAACGAUGAUGGAGAGCUUGCUCUCCUGAUUAGUGGCGCACGGGUGAGUAUACCAUAGAUAAUGUACCUCUUAGUUUGGGAUAGCCACUGGAAACGGUGAUUAAUACCAGAUACUCCUUCUCGUUAUAGGACGAGUCGGGAAAGUUUUUUCGCUAAGAGAUCAGUCUAUGUCCUAUCAGCUAGUUGGUGAGGUAAUGGCUCACCAAGGCUAUGACGGGUAUCUGGUGUGAGAGGAGGAUCAGACACACUGGAACUGAGACACGGUCCAGACUCCUACGGGAGGCAGCAGUGAGGAAGAUGGCACAAUGGAGGAAACUCGGAUGCAGCAACGCCGCGUGGAGGAUGACGCAUUUCGGUGUGUAAACUCCUUUUAAGAGGGAAGAGAAUGACGGUACCUAUUGAAUAAGCACCGGCUAACUCCGU